UCCCUGGUGGCUCAGAGGUUAAAGCAUCUGACUCCAAUGCAGGAGACCCGGGUUUGAUUCCUAGGUUGGGAA
rfam:Ovis aries breed Texel chromosome 1, whole genome shotgun sequence.